AAAUUGAAGAGUUUGAUCAUGGCUCAGAUUGAACGCUGGCGGCAGGCCUAACACAUGCAAGUCGAACGGUAACAGGAAGCAGCUUGCUGCUUCGCUGACGAGUGGCGGACGGGUGAGUAAUGUCUGGGAAACUGCCUGAUGGAGGGGGAUAACUACUGGAAACGGUGGCUAAUACCGCAUAACGUCGCAAGACCAAAGAGGGGGACCUUCGGGCCUCUUGCCAUCAGAUGUGCCCAGAUGGGAUU
rnacentral:rRNA from 9 species